AUUGAACGCUGGCGGCAGGCCUAACACAUGCAAGUCGAGCGAGCGGCGGACGGGUGAGUAAUGUAUGGGGACUGCCCGAUAGAGGGGGAUAACUACUGGAAACGGUGGCUAAUACCGCAUACUAUCGGAUAACCCAUAUGGGAUUCGCUAGUAGGUGGGGUAAAGGCUCACCUAGGCGACGAUCUCUAGCUGGUCUGAGAGGAUGAUCAGCCAAAAUGGGACUGAGACACGGCCCAGAUCCCUCGGGAGGCAGCAGUUGGGAAUAUUUCACAAUGGGCGCAAGCCUGAUGCAGCCAUGCCGCGUGUAUGAAGAAGGCCUUAGGGUUGUAAAGUACUUUCAGCGGGGAGGCGUUACCCGCAGAAGAAGCACCGGCUAACUCCGUGCCCGCAGGCGCGGUUAAUUC
rnacentral:rRNA from 1 species